rnacentral:rRNA from 1 species
UACGUAGGGUGCGAGCGUUAAUCGGAAUUACUGGGCGUAAAGUGUGCGUAGGCGGCGUCGCAAGUCGAGUGUGAAAGCCCCGGGCUUAACUUGGGAAUUGCGCUCGAAACUACGGUGCUCGAGUGUGGCAGAGGGAGGUGGAAUUCCACGUGUAGCGGUGAAAUGCGUAGAGAUGUGGAGGAACACCAAUGGCGAAGGCAGCCUCCUGGGCCAACACUGACGCUCAUGCACGAAAGCGUGGGGAGCAAACAGGAUUAGAAACCCCAGUAGUCC